rnacentral:tRNA from 1 species
GCGGGGGUACCCGAGUGGCCAAAGGGGCGGGACUCAAGAUCCUGUAGUGUUAGGCUUUCGAGGGUUCGAAUCCCUCCCCCCGCA